CAGCGUCACGAGUGGCAAUCAGAUUUAUUGGGUCUAAAGCGUCCGUAGCCGGUUUGAUAAGUCUUUUGUGAAAUUGUCGUGCUUAACAUGACAACGUGCAAGAGAUACUGUCAGACUUGGAACUGGGAGGGGUUAGAGGUAUUCCUUGGGGAGCGGUAAAAUGCUAUAAUCCUCGGAGGACCACCUGUGGCGAAAGCGUCUAACCAGAACAGCUUCGACGGUGAGGGACGAAAGCUAGGGGAGCAAACCGGAUUAGAUACCCGAGUAGUCC
rnacentral:rRNA from 1 species